rfam:Only Syngen Nebraska virus 5, complete genome.
GACGCCAUAGCUCAGUUGGUUAGAGCGUUCGACUGUUAAUCGAGAGGUCGUCGGUUCGAACCCGACUGGUGUCG